AGUAUCUAAAAGGAACAAAUCCUAAGGGCUUGCAACUUGUGCAGAUGUGGCAUAUUUUGAUUCAAACCAAACCCUAUUGGCGGUGGUAGAAUGCCAGUAGCAAUCAGCAGGCGAAGUUCCUCUUGCCAGCGAAGUGCAAAAUAAAGUUUGGUUAUGGCAUUUUUCCCCAGGUACCACGGUCGCUAUAAGUAGAGGAAACAGCAGUAGUGCUUGGUUGGAUAUACAUUUCCAACAUAAAUGCGUAUGUUGAAAUAGCUCAGUUGGUUAGAGCAUGGUGCCAAUAACGCCAAGGUUGCAGGUUCAAUCCCUAUAAGGGACAGUCGCAUAUUCCUGAAUUGCAGGGGGUUAGACUGUAAAACCCUCAGUGUAUGGUUGAAAAUAGUCGUGUAAGUGAAGCAGAGCUGUGUAGUCCUACAAACUUUCAGGCACCUAAGCACUUCGCCAGCAGAGGGUGUUAGUGAGCUGUACAGCAAUUGAGCACAAGUGCUGCCAAUGUUCUGUCACUACAAUAACGCAACAUUUUCUGAUUUAAUCAGAAGUUCAGCGAUUUGAACACCGCCUUCAAGCUGAAAAGUUUGGAUCUCUUGCACCGCAGCCUGCCGCCCUUUCCUUAUUUAAAUGAAACCGGCACAGUGGGAAGAGCGCAAAACAUUCGUUUGUGAAAUUAAUGCAAACUUUCUCGCGCUAUUUUGGAAGGGGAUUCUGCAUUUAUUUGUUUGCAGGUCUUGGCAUUGUUUCCCAUCCUCUCCAGGUGUUGCAUAAGCCCUUCAUCCUGUGCCCAGUCCCUGAUGCUGCCCGGCCACGAAAGGGCAAGCGCACCCUCUUCUGCCAGAUGCUAAGCAGAUCUGGGAUUUUCCAAGGAGCUUCAGAUAAAGGAGUAGCAGGGCUGCGACCUCUAGGAGUACAACUGCGGGAAGAUUUAAAGGGUAUAAAUGGUUACUAUGUUCCACUUACUGUCUGAGACAGUAAUGCUGAAUGCCAGUUGCUGGAAGAGGGGAAAGUGCUACUCUUGUGCUCAGGUCCUGCUUGUGGAUUUCCUGCAGGGAUCUGGUUGGCCAAAGCAAGAAUAGGAUGCUGGACUGAUCUAGCAGGCUUUUAACGUUCUUAAUCUGGCAAAACCACAACUUGGAGGCUUUCCUUGCGGUGGUCACAGCAAAGAGAUCCUGCACCGCAGAGGGUUGGACUAGAGGACCCUUGUGGGUCCCUUUCAACUCUAUGAAUCUAUUAUCGUGCUUUGCUGCUGGUGUUGCAUUAUCCCAGAGCCUUUUUUAGGUGAGUGUGGGGUUGUCGUUUUUAAAGCCCAGUCCCCAAAUUGAAGAAUGAUCUGUAGGCUGCUGGGAUUUGCUUGUAAAACACAUCACAUAUUGCUUGCAUUUGCAAUUCUGGGCCCAGGGUUCUCCGGCAAGAGGAAAUAACUAUUAAAGCAGUUUGAGUUUGUCUCUUCCCAUCCCCACCACCCCUGACACUGAAUAAUGUAGCAUGAUCCCUGAAAUGAGCUGUCAUAAAAGAUCCAGGUGUUGGGAGAUGGUGCCGUGCAAUGAUUUUCUCACUUUCCCAAAGACAAUUUCAAGGCAGAGAGUGCCUAAAUCUCAUCUGAAAUUCUGAGCAGGAAAUGCUGCCUGCCACUAAGUGUAAAGGGGAGGUGGGGCGGGGAAUCAAAAGAAGAAACAUGUUGGAUCUUCUCUCUUCUUCCUCCUCCACCCGCUACCCCCAUCCUUUAACUUUGGAAAACUUGCUUAUUCAGCAGACAUGUCAAGUGCUGCUGGCCUUAGUAAUGAGUCUGGCUCCUACCUAUAUACUGCACCAUUGCUUUUUAUAUUCUUAAUGUUCAGUUCUUUAAUCUGCAUAAUCUCUGGGGUGGGGGCUUGGUGCAUUUUGCACUUACGCUUGAUUUAUGCCAGUACACGGGAGAAAAAGAGGGAGGGGGGAAGAGGUCUUUCUCUAGUGCACAGACUGAAUAAAAGAGAUCUCUCCCUCUCUCUGUCGUGUGUGCAUGUGUGUGCAUGCGUGCGUGCACACGCAUGUAUGUAUGUUAUUUUCCCACUCUAAGUAGAAAAGACUUCUGCUCCUUUUCUGGCUUUUUUUUCUGUCCCGCUUCUUCCAAAUCGAAUUUACCCAUAGGCCUAAAGCUGUCCUUUUGGUUAUCAAAUUCAGUAUAGCACUUGUAAGGGGACCCCCUUGUAAGAUGCAUGCUCUGUCACUGUGUGUGUGUGUGUGUGUGUGUGAGAGAGAGAGAGAGAGAGAGAGAGAGAGAGAGAGAUUUGACUGUCACAUAUUAAUGAGAAGAUUCCAGUAGUGAUGGGAGUUGUAACAAAUUGUGCACACACAUCUAUUAGGUUCUUCGGUGCUCCAAGAUUUUGUCUUGAGUCAUUUAGUUCAAUCUUCAGCAUCGAGCGUGCUAACUGGAACUGUUUUAAUAGAUUAUAAAACGAAUAGGUUAAGAACGAGGUGACGGAUUGCUCUCAACCAAUUCAUCACCGAAGCUACUGAGACGCUUACAGUUAACAUAACUUUAAUCCGCUGACAGUUCUUGUAGCACUUUAAUUUUCAUUAAGUCUACUGGCUCCCAGCCAGGGAACUCGUUUCAUUACACCUGAGGGCUUAUAUAUUAGUUGGCCUUCUUUUGUUUGCCCCUCAUGGUUCAUCACAAGCUGCUUUCUGAAAGUUUUAAAAGUAGUUUCCCAUGCAUAAGGUUAAAGCAGAGAGCGAAAAUACCAAAAACAAUGCCCUGUUUUUUAUUUGGUCAGAACUAAUAAUGAUGCAGAAUCAUAUUAUCUGCUUCCAAAAACAACCACCAUGCACCUCCUUCAUAGAAUCAUAGAACUGCAGAGUUGAAAGGGACCACGAGGAUCAUCUAGUCCAACCCUCUGCAGUGAAGGAAUACUUUGACCCAACAUGGGACUCGAACCCACAACCUAGAGAUUAAGAGUCUCAUGCUCUACCAACUGAGCUAUCCUUACCCUCCCCAUAACAUUGCAGGUGGAGAUCUUUUCAUUGUUUGUCUGUUUGACAUCUUAUGGGAGGGCAUUCCUCAGGGCAGGAGCCACCACCAAAAAGGCCCUCUGCUUUGUUCCCUGUAACCUCACAUCUCACAGUGAGGGAAUCGCCAGAAGGCUCUCGGAGCUGGACCUCAGUUUCCGGGUUGAACAAUGGGUGUAAAGCCGCUCCUUCAGGUAUACAAGGCCGAGGCCGUUUAGGGCUUUAAAGGCCAGCACCAACACUUUGAAUUGUGCCCAGAAACGUACUGGGAGCCCAUGUAGAUCAUUUAGGACCGGUGUGAUGUGGUCCUGGCAGCCGGGAAGUUGCCAAACUUCAUUCCUUCCGGAUCCCGGGCUACCAGAUUAGAUGUUGUCUAAGGUUAAUGGCCAGAUGCAUGUCAGCUGCUUGGCAGAAUUCCAGCUGAGAGCCAAAUGAGUGGCGACCCAGGCAAGCAAGUAUUAAUAUAAACAUGGCAGAGGCCUAGCCGUCAGCAAGCCAUUAAAAACUUCCCACGAUGCUGCGAAGGGAUGCCGCCUUCCUUAGAGACCCGUCCAGAAUUGUACGUAUGUAGCUUGAAUAUCUUGUGUGGUUCGAGUCUGAGCUGCCACCUGCUAAUUCAAUGCUGGGGCCAAGCCUCUCACCCCCCACCCCCUUGCUCUAGUGGCGCCAGAGCCGUGUGGUCCCUGGAAUUUGAUUAUUUGUGUUAGCAGAUAAUUUAGGCCAGAAGGCUUAGAGUGCUCUCUCAGUCCGUUAGAUGUCGUCAUGCUUCCCAGCAAACGAGGCCUUCCCCACCAACCCACCGCAAAAUACCCCCCCCCAUAUUUUUUUAAAGCCUUUUAAAAAGAAAAGCUGCACCUAGGCUCCUUUCAACCGGUUAAAGCCAAUUUUGCACAAAGUUCAACUUUAAUUUUAAUUUUAAUUUUUUUUAAAGGAGGAUAUGAUCAAACCUAAUGCGGUGUGGGGGCUUUUCUCUCUCUCCCCCCCCUUUCCUGUUUUUGUUGCUUAAGCAGAUUUUAUGGGCUUCAGCAAAAAGUUGUCGUAAAAACGAGAUCUGUGCUGGCGGUGUUGCGUGUGAUGGAAAAGAGCAGGCAAGGAACACAUGGUGGGUGUUUGGGAAUAACAUAUUUUCUCUCUCUUCAGAUAAUGAUGUCAAAUUAAAGUGUAAUUAAGAUGAAAAGAUAACGAGAAAGAAGCAGCAGUUUGGACUUUUUUGGUGUUGUUCGGGUUCCUGUUUUCCAUAUCACAAAUUCAGUCAUUCGGGGUCAAAAUUUAUUUAGUUUGAUAUGUGUUUGUUUAUGUGAGGGUCUUUCCUAAUCGAUGGACUCCUCACUUUCCUUUGCCUUAAUCCUGAACCAAUUUACUUUUGGGCAUGGUUGGAUAGCUGCAGGUUCGAUCCCCGGAGGUGACAGCCACAUAUUCCUUCAUUGCAGGGGGCUGGAUGUUCCUCAGGGUCCCUUCCAAUUCUACAAUUCUAUAACCCACUGGGUUAUAGCCAACUAUGUUGUACUCAGAGUAGAUCCAUUGAAAUAAACGAACAUGAGUUCUUGCUGUUGUGUGUCCUGUCUUUCCUCCUGAAGCAGCCCAGGGUGGGAAACACAUUAACAAUUCCAAAAACCAUUAGAGACAAUAUGAAAACAGUGAUUUCAGGAUUGCAAUAAACAGUGUCCUUCAGCUACCAAAUGCCUGGGUAAACAGGAAAGUUUUUAAAUUUCUCCUGAAAGUUUGUAAUGGAGGAGAAAGAUUCACCUUACCAGAGACGGCCUGCCACCAAAAAACCCCUGUCAACUGACAGCCCCUAAUGGAGGCACUAACAAGGCCUCACUUAACAAGGGUCCAAGAUGAGCCGUGCCCAUUAACUUCUGUGGGUCUACUCUGAGUAGGACUGGCAUUUAUCUCCUUGACUUCUGAUGGGAGGGCGUUCCCAUCGUCUGCCUCAAAAGUAAACUACUGGCACAUUCAUCUCCAGCUGAAUGUUGCCACCCCAUAUGAACCAGGGAUGGGGCACCUCAGGCCUGGGGGCCAAACAAACCCUUCAGGCAUCUCUAUUUGGCCCCUGGAACUCUCUACAGGCCACACCCCUCUGCACCCUCCCCAAGUGUUUUUACCAGGCCGGAAUGUGUCCCCAAAUUGUCCCUGCCGGUCAGGGUGAAGGUUAGAGACAUUUGUAGCUCCGCCUAGUUUUGCCUCUGGCCCCGCCCACCUGGGAGGUGGCUCUCAGAAGGUUGCAUAUAAAGGAAUGUGGCCCCUGGACUGACAAAGGCUCCCUUACCCCUAAUGCAAACUCUGCAGAGAGGAACAGCACCAAGGACCCACAAUAGGCUGUUCUUCCCACACACCCUUUUGAAAAGGCUUCACCUGACUGUUGCUACUAUUACUCUGUGUGUGGUGGGGUACUGAAUGGGUCAUUUUAAUUAAUGAAAUCUGCUUCCCUUAGGUAGGCGUCCCUUCAAUUAGUUUUGCUAUUAAGUGGUCUCCGUUUUUAUGAUUCCCUUCUUGGGGAUAGGAUAUAAUUUUGCAUGUUGCUAUGGGAUUUUUUUUUUUAGUUUGUUUACAUAGUCUGUGCUUGAUCUGCAGAUUGAAUCCAUCAGGUUGAUAGCCCUGUGACAUUUUUACACGGGUGAACAUUUCCUGUUAAACCAUAAAUACUUGGAGGGGGGAGGAGGGGGGGUCUAGAGAAAAGGGAAUUCUUAAGACGCAUUACUACUAAGGUUGUAGUUCACUCCGUUGAAAUACCAACAUUGAAACAAUGAUCUCUGUUUACAGAGCCAAAAAAACAAAACUACCAUCAAAACGCUAUUUGAAAAAUGUGCGCUCCAGUGCUCUUUCUGAAAUGAAGUAAAUAAUAUAAAAUUCCUUCCUGUCUGUUGCGGGAUUAUAAAGUGGAGCCAUACUUUAUGAACUGAAGUGCUAGCAAAUGAAGGCUUUACUUAAAUCUUUUUUGUAUACAGAAAGGUUUGUGUUUGUAUGCUAGGCUUUCAUUAGCUCACUUUGCUUUCUGCCGUGUUCAUCAUUUGCCCUUACAAAUAUUUUCUUUCUUUUCCUUUAAUGUUAUGGUUGCGAUACUGCAAUAAAAGCGAAUGGAGUC